rnacentral:tRNA from 1 species
GGGAAUGUGGCUUAGUGGUAGAGUGCUUGCCUAUCAUGCAUGAAUCCUGGGUUCAAUUCCUCAGUACCA